rnacentral:rRNA from 1 species
GAUGAACGCUGGCGGCGUGCCUAAUACAUGCAAGUAGAACGCUGAAGGAAGGAGCUUGCUCUUUCCGGAUGAGUUGCGAACGGGUGAGUAACGCGUAGGUAACCUGCCUGGUAGCGGGGGAUAACUAUUGGAAACGAUAGCUAAUACCGCAUAACAGUAGAUGUUGCAUGAUAUCUACUUAAAAGGUGCAAUUGCACCACUACCAGAUGGACCUGCGUUGUAUUAGCUAGUUGGUGAGGUAACGGCUCACCAAGGCGACGAUACAUAGCCGACCUGAGAGGGUGAUCGGCCACACUGGGACUGAGACACGGCCCAGACUCCUACGGGAGGCAGCAGUAGGGAAUCUUCGGCAAUGGACGGAAAUCUGACCGAGCAACGCCGCGUGAGUGAAGAAGGGUUUCGGAUCGUAAAGCUCUGUUGUAAGAGAAGAACGAGUGUGAGAGUGGAAAGUUCACACUGUGACGGUAUCUUACCAGAAAGGGACGGCUAACUACGUG